rnacentral:rRNA from 1 species
CCGCAUCGGGAGGGGCCCGCGGCCCAUUAGCUUGUUGGUGGGGUAACGGCCUACCAAGGCUGCGAUGGGUAGCUGGUCUGAGAGGACGAUCAGCCACACUGGGACUGAGACACGGCCCAG